UAGUGGAGAAAGAAAGAAAUAUUUUUGCCCAUCAACUUUGAUCCAAAAAUCAUAAAUUUCUAGUAUUCCUACUAAGCUCAAGACCCUCUUCAACGGGAUAUAAAUUUCGAGGCAAGAAAGUACUUUUUUUAUCAAGUGGAGAAAUUGGAAAAGAUCUUGGCGAAUUUGGGACUUGACUUUGGAGACGUAUAGGAGGCGGAAAAGGUACAGAGGUUCGUGAUCCGCCAGUGUAGGCCACAUAUUCUGCUAUCACAGAGUGCUCCUUUUGAUUCGGAGCCCAUAUGUUGGUACAUAUCUUCAUGAUGUAUAUGUCUCUGUAUAUUUGACUAUUUGGGGUACGGCGGGGCCCUGUCCCGUCAUAUGAUUUCGUUAUGAUUUGUAGAGGCCUGUAGUCAUAUAUGUGGGUCAUGGGUCAUGUGUGGGUUUGUUUGUGUAUGAUCUGCGUCUUAGCGCGGUUCAGGUUGCUAUUAUGGCCAAAACGGCCCAUUUGUCUGUAUACGUGUAUGUAUCUGGCGAUGUAUAUUCCGCCAACCUAUCAGAUUUGGAUACGGCCAGAAUGGCCUGUAUAUUGGUAUAUGUGCAUAUAUUCGGCGAUGUAUAUUCCGCCGCCCCUUUUUGGUUCUGAUAUGAUAUUUUGUACACGCAAUCGCGUAAGAUAAUAUUUGUUUUUAGCUCUGUUUAAAAUGAUGAAUAUGAAGUCUGA